UUAAAAAUAGUUUAAAUAAAAUUUAGAUUUUGGAGAUCUAAGAUGUUUGUACUUUUUAAA
rnacentral:tRNA from 1 species